GGAGUGUUUGUGCAAGAUUCCCAGCAGGCCAAAGUAAAUGGCAAUUCAGCUACAAAAAUUUCACUUUUGACUUCUUACAAACUUACCAUGUCCUACCCAGUUACUCCUGAAGACAGUUCUAGCAUUACCAGUAUUACCGUAUCAGAUAAAGAAAAUGCUAUGCCAGCAGUUCCUUCUGUGAAAUCACCUUAUGAUGGCAAAGGAAAGCAUAUAGUAAGAUCAGGGCCGCCAUCAGGGGGGUACAACCCAUACACCUGUAUGGGGCCCAGAGCUUCAGGAGGCCCAGCCGGCCCUGGACCUUUUUUUUUCCAGCUUGUCAGGGCCGGACAGGCCAGGGGCUGUUGGGAGUCGACAUGCCCUGCGCAGGCACACACGUCUACUCCAGUCACCUGACCUGUCCCUGCAUGAUCUCCAGUCCAGACGAUCCUCCCCGUGCAUAGGAGCAGCAGCAGCCUCCGCUGCACCGAUCCCCGGCAGCCAGCAGGAGGAUGAGGAUCUGCUGACAAUGUGAGGAGCCAAUGAUGUCUGGAUGUCAGACUCUGCAGAAAAGAUGGAGCUGGAGGAAGACCUGGUCUCUGGACCAGAUGAAGAAGAAAAGAUAACAGAGAAAAUAUCACUCAAGUGAGAAGACGUCACUCAGGUAUUAUGACUGUAAAGCAACCGUCCUGCGUAAAAUAAAAAAAAAACAAGGAAUUCAGGAAGUGGGAGCAGGAGUUCCGGAACCAUCUCCUGCCAGAGGGUCGGAGUGAGACAGGCCUUGGUGGUCCUCAUAUGUCGCCUGAAUCCGAGAGUGCUGGCGAUCAACCAGGUCCAUCUGCAGGGAGGAUGGUCCGCCAUCAAAACUUGCCCCAAUCACCUGUCCUGUCCUCAGCAUCGGCUGAGAUAGAUGAGGAGGAGGAGGUGUCCCCAGGUGAACAACACCAACCACUCUCCCCCAACCCUAGCUCCUGGCUCUGUCCCAAGGGAUACUUACCUGCAGCUUGCUAAAGAAAUCCAAAGGCUGGCCAAGGAGAAUCGCACCAUGGUUGAACUCCACCGAUCACAAAAACAAGAGUUCCAAGCCCUGUUGGCCAAACAAAUGGGAGAAUUUCAGGCCAUGUUGUCCCACCAUAGCCAACAACAGAUGCAGGCGAUGCAUGAUUUGAGGGUGGACGUUAUGCCCCAUAAGCAGCAGCAAUACCCCCAAAAAAAACUGAAAUAUACGGGACUAAAUUAUUUCGCCUUGUUGAUAUGUUUCAGUUGUUGUUCUGUUUAAGAUAUGUUAUUAUUACUACUGCAGCAUUGAAGGCCUUGGCCAUUCAAGAAAAAAAAAAACAUUUUUUUCUUUAUCCUGUGUGGUGUCUAAAUUAUUACUAACAUUACAUUAUUUUUAUUUCCACUUUUUUUUUUUUUUGUGUUGUCCACAUCUUGGGGGAGAUUUAUCAAGACCUGUCCAGAGGAGAAGUUGCCCAUAGCAACCAAUCAGCUCGCUUCUUUAAUUUUUUAACAAGGCCUGUGCUAAAUGAAAGAACCAAUCUGACUGGUUGCUAUGGGCAACUGGGCAACUUUUCCUCUUGGCAGGUUUUGAUAAAUCUGCCCCCUUGUCCACAGUGCUCUCUGCUGACACCUUUGUCCGUAUUAGGAACUGUCUAGAGCAGCAGGAACUUUGCUAUGAAAAUGUUAUUCUAAUCUGGACAGUUCCUGGCUGACAUGUACAGAGGUGUCAGCAGAGAGAGCCCUGUGGACAGACUGGAGAGAAAUAAAUAAAAAAAUAAUACACUGACUUAUAUUUUCUAUUGGCACGUACAUUAUUCUGCGCAGAUUUGAUGUACUGCAUAUUAUGCUGCAGAUUUCAAUAUCUGCAAAAAAUAAUGUACGUGUGAAUUGACCAUUAUGCCUCUGGAAUAUUUGCUCCAUUCAUUUACUAGGGGUCCCUCUAGUGGCAGAGGCACUGUAAAGCACAACUGUUAUA